rnacentral:rRNA from 1 species
AGUGAACGCUGGCGGCGUGCCUAAUACAUGCAAAUCGAAGGAAGAGGCGCACGGGUGAGUAAUAUAUAGCUAAUCUGCCCCUUGAUGGAGGACAACAGUUAGAAAUGACUGAUAAUACUCCAUAGCAAGGGAGGAGACUAAAUCGUAUCAUUUAGUCGGUGGGGUAACGGCCUACCGAGGCUAUGACGCCAAACUGGUCUGAGAGGAUGCUCAGUCACAUUGGAACUUAGACACGGUCCUAAGUCCUCCGGGAUGCCGCCGUAGGGAAUAUUGCGCAAUGGGGGUCCCCCUGACGCAGCUACGCCGCGUGGAGGAUGACACUUUUCGGAGCGUGAACUCUUUUUGUUAGGGCAGCGGUACCUAACGAAUAAGCACCGGCUAACUCCGUGCCAGCCGCCGCGGUAAUUC